rnacentral:lncRNA from 1 species
UCAGCCUCCUGAGUAGCUGGGAUUACAGGUGUGCACCCGCUAAUUUUUGUAUUUUUAGUAGAGACGGGGUUUCACCAUGUUGCCCAGGCCAGUCUUGAACUCCUGAGCUCAAAUGAUCCACCUGCCUCAGCCUCCCAAAGUGCUGGGAUUACAGGUGUGAGCCACCGCACCUGGCCUCCUCUAGUCUUUAGUGGCUCUCCACUCCUGACUAAAUUAAGUUCAGGCUGUCAUCAGUGUGGGCUCAGCCUACCUUCCAGCUUUUCUGCUUCUGCUUUGCUUUAUUUAUUUACUUAUUUUGAGACAGGGUCUUGCUCAGAGACGGUCCCCCAGGCUGGAGUGCACAGGCCAAUCAUAGCUCACUGCAUCC